GGAGCAGCCAGUCUUUCAACCAGCAAAACGCUGCUGAUUCAUAGUAAAGUCUUAAGUCCGACUUUUCCCGCCUUUUCCCAACUUCCCGCCCUUCGAAAUCUCAGCCUCGCCUCAGUUUCAGGCGCCGAGGAGGCAGAUUCCCCGGGCCCCUGCUUUAUGAGUGGAUUUCUUCUCAUUCGCCCUGAUUUCUGCUCAUAUAUCUUGCUUUUGGAGCUUCUCUAGAAAGAAGGCUGUAUAUAAAGCCCCUCACCACCUCCUGCAUCCCAUACAGUAUGUCAAAGUCUGAUUUCUUCCCAUUUGCUGUGUAUAAUUCUUCCUCCAGGACUGUUCUUCCUUCCUGGCAAUGUCACUUCCAAACUCAUAAUUCUUCCCUCACUGUCCUUAAAUAGCUGCUUGGGGUCUAGUUUGGGGCCUGCAUAAAGAACCUCCUCUCUUUUCUCAUUUUAGCUGUAGGUAUAAAUUCAUGGCCAAAAGCCUUAUUGAUACACAAUCUUCCAUCCGAUGCCUGCUUACUCGGAAAACGAAGCUGGCACCAUCCAUCCAUUGGUUCUGGCAGGGUUCCAGUUCAUGGUCAACAAGAUUAAACAGAUGCACGUUGGGCUGAUGAGGAGGAGGUGAGGGACCAGGAGUGAGACCUUGGGGUCAUGUUAGGUAACUCUGGGAAAUUGUUGACCCUGUGUGCACUGGCUCGGGAAACUGCAAAUCUCACGCUGGGGAUGUUUAGGGAACCGAUUGAAAAUACACCUGCCACUAUCCUAAUGGUUGUAGUGCAGAUCUUGUUGGCAUGCAAAGGGUCGCAAGCCCAGCUGGCUAGUCCCAGGUGGGUCAUCUCCCUCCAGCCGUCCCGCUGCGAAGACCCAUCAGCCCCUGCUCCGAUGUAAAUCAGCGACCCAGGCUUCAAAGCCAGGGCACACUAUAUCAGCAGAGCGAACUGCAGACACAGAAUAGGCGUGAGGCUUGUGGAAGCAUACUACAACUACGGAUUUAUUAAUCAUAAAUCAGGAUAAAGAAACAUUUCGUCUCUCUCUUUGUAUUCUCAGAGAGACAGAGAAAAGCAAAAGCUAUACGCACAACGGAAGCAUACUGUGCUGGAAUGUAAACAGACAGGUGACACAUAACAAACCCAUAUCUGCUCCUUAAGGAGGAAUGGAAAUUCUCAACAGACCUAUGGUGUGAACACAUUUGGAGUACUGUGCACAGUUCAGUAUCUGGGACCUUUCAGUUUGGAGAGAAGACGAGGAAGGAAGGACAUGUCAGAUAGAAUGGAGAAAGAGGAUAGAGAAAAGCCCCCCCCCCAAUAAAACUAAAACUCAUGGAAUCCAGUGAAGCAUGAAGCAGGAAUGGUGGAAGAUUUAGGAGAGCGAAAAGAAGGGCCCCCCCCCCCUCUCUGCAUCCAGCCAGUCCAUGAUGGCAACAGCAACAAUAAGAUAAUUACAUCAAUAGUAUGCAUUGUGCUCUGCUGGCAGGAGGACUCCCUCGGAUCAUGUCCAGUUGCAAAAGUGCAAGGAGACUUUCCACCCUCAGGGCCCAGAGGGGGAUCGUGCCUUGGGGCAGCUGGUGGAAUUGGAGGAAGCUGACCCUUAGCACUCUGGGUUUGGGACCUACCGGAACCUCCUUCCACAUUAUACUCAUCCAUAUUGUUUCUCGUCUGCGUCAUUUUGGGGAUAGCAUUCUACACACACUUGCGUCACCAUGUGCCCCUCCCAACAUUGCUCUGAGAUGCUCUGGUACGGCCCCUUCUUCCCUGUGCCCCUUUCCCUCCUCAUGCAAAACGUGCAGCUGGGAACAGAGCCUUUCCUGGUUCUGCCAGGGAAUGCCCCUUUUAUUUCUCCUGCCACCAAAUAUAUCUAUACACAUUAUAUCUGACAUAAUGCAUCUAUAAAUCAAAAGAAUAGAUCAGGGUUUCAAGAUUACCUUCGGCAUAUAAGUAGGUGCUUUCAAUCUUUCUGUGUCUUCAUGGUUCCACUAUUGCAACUAUAACAAUGGGAGUUAUGCUGCUGUUCCUAUAAUAUUAGUCUAACUCUGCUUCCAAAGCAACACCACCAGUCUCAGCUCCACUUUGAGCAACUCUCCAUUCCCAGAUAUAAACAUUUCCAGCUCCCUCCACCAAACACCAACACCAGCUCACUCUCAGUCCACCCUCAUUCAGAAGCAACACUACAGAUUCACAUUAAAUAUUAUAUUAUGCUUACUAUUGUGAAAUUCUACCUUCAAUACUUUAAAUAAACGUCUAGACCACGUUACAAACAA